GACGAACGCUGGCGGCGUGCUUAACCCAUGCAAGUCGAACGGAAAGGCCCUGCUUUUGUGGGGUGCUCGAGUGGCGAACGGGUGAGUAACACGUGAGUAACCUGCCCUUGACUUUGGGAUAACUUCAGGAAACUGGGGCUAAUACCGGAUAGGCGCUCCUGCUGCAUGGUGGGGGUUGGAAAGUUUCGGCGGUUGGGGAUGGACUCGCGGCUUAUCAGCUUGUUGGUGGGGUAGUGGCUUACCAAGGCUUUGACGGGUAGCCGGCCUGAGAGGGUGACCGGCCACAUUGGGACUGAGAUACGGCCCAGACUCCUACGGGAGGCAGCAGUGGGGAAUAUUGCACAAUGGGCGGAAGCCUGAUGCAGCAACGCCGCGUGCGGGAUGACGGCCUUCGGGUUGUAAACCGCUUUCGCCUGUGACGAAGCGUGAGUGACGGUAAUGGGUAAAGAAGCACCGGCUAACUACGUG
rnacentral:rRNA from 1 species